AGGUAAAUGCGCGCCACUGGGAGGGCGGAGGACAAGCGGGGACCCAGGGGCAGGGCAGCCCUGCGAGCCGCGGGGGGGGGCUUUGCUCGUCACCGCCCUACGCUCCGCACCGCUGCUCUCGGAACCUUUCCUGCUUCAGAAGCCUGGACAGCGGGAGCUCGGAAGAGAGGUCUAAUUGGCAUCGCUCGCCCUGUACCAUGGGUUACCUUGAUCCCUGGCACCUGUUCCGGAUGAGAAGGUCAGCCGGACCCGAGGUAGUUUUUGUGUUCUGGGCCUGAAGCUGGAGCUGAGACCGCAGGUGCUGGCUAGAGGGCCCAGGACGUCUGUUGUCACGAAGGAGGCUAGUGACUCCAGCAAGGAAAUUUCCCUUUCUGCCACUGAGGACCCCACUGUGCUUACUUGAACACAGGUUCCCUGCUGCCACAUGGAUCUUUUGACUCCAUCAGCCUGACUCAGGGUAGGUGGGAGGAACUAGUGGAAGGGGACCACGCUGAGUAAGUCUCUAGUUCUUCGUGAGAUAAACAUUAUGAGGGUAUCAAUCAGACAACCUAGGGACACACACUAUGCAUGCAAAGAACAGAGGACAGGAAGUCUCAGAGCUGGCUCCUAGGGAGUUUCCAGGCGUUUCACCUCCUCAUGGAAGGUGGAGGAUCUUGUGACUAUUUCCAAAUGCCAGUCUUUCUAAGACAACUAUUUUCACAGUAGUGUAGAGACACCUAACUAGUCCGUGCACCUAGGAGCUAUGGUAUACGAGGGGGAGUCGGAGAGGAUGUAGGUCCUGGGAUUUGGAGGUAAGGAUAGAAAAGCAGGGGAAAGGUCCUGGUCCAACCUAAGAUGGAGUGACUUUAAGCCUGUUUGAAGCAAGAGGGCCACCCAGGACAGGGAUGUCCAGUGCUCACAGCUGGCCAGGUCACCCUUGAUGCUCAGGACAUCAGAGAAUGUUAGAACUUUGGGUCCCAUUCCAGGCAUCAAAACUCAAUGUCAGCAGCCAGGAGACAGAUGUGUCCCAAUGUCCCUGCCCUGCAGGUGUCAGUGAAUCUGGGAGCUGCCUAGCCACAGUGGGAACAACAGCCUCAUGCCCUCCAAGGCUUCUGUUGAUUCCCAGGAACAACAGGUUUCCUUCCCAGUGGCAGGCAAUUCUCUGAACUUGAGGCAAACGCCCUAUCACGGAGCCACAUCCUCAGUGUCCAGGCUCUGCGCUUUGGAGGCUGCAUCACGGCAAUGCCGCCAAGGUUGCCCUUUCUCAGUUGAGCUGCCAUGCUUGGAACCUGGCCACCAGGCUUUGGUGCAGCCUGGACAGAAUCGUGGAGCAGCCACGAAUAGUUCCUGUAGAAGCUGAAGGAUAAAGUCCUGAUCUUCCUAGGAACCAUGCCAGGUUCUCCAAGCCUAGAAGAACUGCUUCAAAAAGAGAUUCCUUGGCAAAGGUGACGCACAGGAUCAGAACAGGACUCUCAAAGUCUUUGACUUAGUAUCAGACUUCAUGAGCAAUCUCCUUGACAGGAUCCCUGGUGACAUCACAGCAGAACUUGCCAUUGUUAGCUUCAUCUACUAGGAAGUUUGUUUCUCUUUUACAGGUGGUCAGGGGCUCAUUUAGUUCUGAUGGGAGAACGGCCGGCCUGGCGUACAUGGGAGCUCAUCAGAGGAAGUGCAAAUUCAAGUGGCCAGCAGAUGGCAGCAGUCUGAACCUGCCAGGCAAUCCCUGUGAAAGGGCCAUUUGAUCUCCAAAGGGGUCAAGACCCAGAGGUUGAGAAACACUGGCUUAAAUGGUGCUUCAGGGACGGGCUCUUGAAGGCAGGCCUCCUGGAUUUCCCUCUGCGGAGGCGGUUAUCCUAGAUAAUGUAGGACAGUGGCAGCAUCUUGGUCCACAUCUAUAAGAUGUCAGUGCCUCAUCUAUGAGUUCCAGAAGCCAUGGGCCUGCUGACUUUACACCGCUUCCCUCAGGAGAUGCUGAUGCCCCAGCUACUGCUCCCCCUUCAGCAGCAUCCUGAACAUAUGAGCAAAUGAGGCCAACAUCCCUUCAUGGGAGCUGGAGGUACUUGCAAAGAAUGGAACUCUUUUGGUCCCACAGACUUGUUGCCCAGGGAUGAUCACAGACGUUGGAAGCUCUUCUGUACCUUUGAGUUCUGACUCUGCAGUCAUCAAUGCCACUGCAAAAGAAGCUUCCUUGCCCGUAGCAGCCGGCAGCAGCAUGGAGCAUGGAUCGUACACUUCCACAAGAUUUCCAGUUGUAGCAUGGACCAUGGAUAUUAACACGGUCUCUGUUGGCAGCAUGGACCAUGGACAUCAACCUGGUUUCCAGCAUCAACAAGAACCAUGGCCACUAACUCUGCCCCCAGUGGCAGCAAGGACCGAAAAAGUCUUUCGAGGACACUUAAGCCAAAAAACGAACCAUUCUCCAUCUUAGAUAUCUUGUUGUUGUUCAGAGUCUGGGGGCAGGACCUGUGAAAGCUCCAGGCUUUUGUACACCACCCAGUUCUGGGCUCCAGCAGCCCUGCUGGUACCCUGGGCACAGCCAUCAUGUUUGCAGCCAGUGGGCAGUCCCCAGGUUCCAAGCUCUCCUCCUCCCAGUACGACAAGCAGCAUGAGCAGCAGCAGCAGUGGCCCCAUGCCACUGAUCAGUCUUAUGGACCAAGCAGCAACACCCUGGCGGUCUGAGAGUUGGCCCUACUCAGCAACAACAUGCCCCCUUUCUGCCUUUCCCCAGCUAUGUAAGAUGAAAUGAGGUGGUGGGCUGUAGCCCAUGGGUCAGUUUGCCAUUGCCUGCAUCAGAGAUGGCUGAACAGUGUGCACAAGUGCAUGUGUGCUUGUAUGUUUCAGUGUGCAUGUGUCUCUGUUCAUGAUAUACAUACAUACAUACGUACAUACAUGAAGGCAUAAGGGUGUGAGGGCUAUGAUGGAAGAGACGGAUGGUUCUGGACAUUUGGGAGUGUGGGACUUGUGGAUGGCUGUGGUUUGGUGAGAGAUACAUGUACUAAUGCCCAUGUUCUGCCUACACAGAAAAGCAGGCUACCAGAAUGCUCCCCACAGCUUGUCCAUGUUUCUAAUGAGAACUGCAGAGACCCAUUCUUUCUGGAACAUGCCCGCUCAGCCGUGGACACUCCCUGUAAGCCCACUCUAAGAAGCCUGAAGAUUUAGAUGACAUUUUCUCAUCACCUUCCAUUUAAGCUACCUGUGAAGCUCAUUGUUUCUGGGUGCCAUAAUUGGAUCUUGAACACCAACUCUUCAUCUCUUCUCCUGACCAUUGUUAUCUGUGAAACCAUGACAACAGCUUGGGUGGUGGUACUUUUUACAAGGCCACAGCCAAGUGCUUAUGCUCUUGAUUGCUGAAGUGUUUCCUCUCACUGCAGUCUCUACAGCUCUUGUUUACAGCAUAGAUUGGUGACAAAAUUGAUACUAACUCUAUGGAGCCUGCCAUUUAUUAGCCUAUUCAUUUUAACUGAAGUGUUAUAAUUUUUAAAAGUCUUUACAUGCUAUGGAUUAUGAAAGAAACCAUAAGACUGUGUGCCUCAGCUUGUAUCACCCAGCAGUCACAGCCAGUUGUUUCUGUCAUUCUCAGCUUUGGCCUGCUUCUUGUUUGCUCAAUUGUUUGGGGACAGGGUCUCUCACUUGCUGGAAAGUUACCAAGUAGAUUAGGCUUGCUCGACAGAGAACCACAGGGAUCUGCCUGCCUCUGCUUCCCUGGCACUGGAUUAUAACACAUACCAUCAUGACUGGCUUUUUAUAUGUAUUCUGGGAGUUGAACCCAGGUCCCCAUGCCAGUUUUUCCAAUUGAGCUAUCUCUUGAGCCUUCAAAUAGCAGUUUUAAAAACCAAACAUUCCAACCAAUACAAUUCACAAAUACUGAUUUGAUGUGUGUGGAGAUGGGAAGGUAGGAAAGUAUUAAGCGUCUUUCUCUGUAUUUAAAACACUAUGUUUUUUAUAAGAGUAGAAGCUCUAUGUGAUGCUAAGAACCAUUGUGAUUCAAAAUAAACAAUAGUCUCUAAUCUGAGGGGAAGGAUUCCAGAUAGGGUUCUUGCUUGUUGUAAGAACGUGCAUCGUGCAAAGGACUCAUGCUGCAUGUUCAGAGGGCACAGUAUAGUCACAGGACAACACAUGCAUGAGCCCCCAUGGGAACACUGUGGACUCUGAGUUUUAAUUAGCUUUGGUUAUUGUGCAAACAGAAACCUUUUACUACUACCCUAUUUUUCUUGACCCCCUUCCUGCCUUCAGUUAGGACUCCCUGUGGGCUUGUGACCCACACUGUCAGAAUCUGAGCCCUAGGACAUCCUCCCACUGGCAACACCUAAAGGUGCUCUACCUCUGAGCUCCACCACCAGCCUGCAAUGUAAAUUCAAUAAUUGCAUUUAUUGCUCCCCCAUUUUCAAUCUUAAAAUGCACACACCUGCUCCAUCUUCAACAAUGCACAGUAUUUCCUUAGCCAUACUUCGCACCACAACAUAAGAAGACAAAUGCUAAGAACAAAAGCAAGUGGCGUGCCCUUGCUUAGGGGCCUCACCUCGUGCAGACAGGCCAGGCAUCAUACGUGCUGUCAUUGUUUGAGUUUCAAGCCUCCCUGGAGACUUCACAUGAAGCCAAGGUGGAGAGCCACGUGUCAUGGACCACAGCUCCAAAUGAACAUUGAAGAGGAGGAGAAGAGUUAAUAACUGGAUGACCCCAAACCUCAUUACUGUCAGACCAGGGGAAUAUUACAAAUUACAAAUGAACUUCACAAAUGACAUUUCAAAGAUACCUCCUUAACCCAAUUCAAGUGCAUGCCAUUGUGAUUAGCUACAUACGCCCAUGAAUAAAGAUCUAAUUAUUGUAGCUAGACAAAUUAAAAUGUUUCUGGAGGCAGCAAUCUUUUCUUCCUUCCUUCCUGGGACAGAUGAGAAGGCUGGUCCUGUAGGAAGCAGGGGCUGACACGGAGCUAUUAAGCGGAAGGGCCUGACAAAGCUCCUUGUACUUGUCAUUUCUGAUGAACCCUGUCUUGAUUCAUUGAGUUGUCCUCUUGGAAACAGCAAUGAAAAAGUUUGUCAUCGGGUUACAUAAUGAGAUGCCUUUCAAAAAUAAAUGAAUAAUCUAGCAAAUACAUCAAAUAUGAUUAACUUUUAA